CAGGGAUUGCCCUAGUAACGGCGAGUGAAGCGGCAACAGCUCAAAUUUGAAAUCUGGCCCUCGGGUCCGAAUUGUAAUUUGUAGAGGAUGUUUUUGGUGCGGUAUCUUCCGAGUUCCUUGGAACAGGACGCCUUAGAGGGUGAGAGCCCCGUACGGUUGAAUGCCUAGCCUUUGUAAAACUCCUUCGACGAGUCGAGUAGUUUGGGAAUGCUGCUCUAAAUGGGAGGUAAAUUUCUUCUAAAGCUAAAUACCGGCCAGAGACCGAUAGCGCACAAGUAGAGUGAUCGAAAGAUGAAAAGCACUUUGAAAAGAGGGUUAAAUAGCACGUGAAAUUGUUGAAAGGGAAGGAUUUAUGACCAGACUUUUUCUAGGCGAAUCAUCCGGUGUUCUCACCGGUGCACUUCGUUUAGUUUAGGCCAGCAUCGAUUUUCGGGGUGGGAUAAAAGCUUUAGGAAUGUGGCUCCCUCGGGAGUGUUAUAGCCUAUUGCAUAAUACCGCCCUGGGGAUCGAGGUACGCGCUUCUGCAAGGAUGCUGGCGUAAUGGUUAUCAAUCACCCGUCUUGAAACACGGACCAAGGAGUCGAACAUUUGUGCAAGUGUUUGGGUGUUAAACCCUCACGCGUAAUGAAAGUGAACGGAGGUGAGAGCCCUUACGGGUGCAUCAUCGACCGAUCCUGAUGUCUUCGGAUGGAUUUGAGUAAGAGCAUAACUGUUCGGACCCGAAAGAUGGUGAACUAUGCGUGGAUAGGGUGAAGCCAGAGGAAACUCUGGUGGAGGCUCGCAGCGGUUCUGACGUGCAAAUCGAUCGUCAAAUCUGCGCAUGGGG
rnacentral:rRNA from 1 species